CGGCAAGGGGGGCCGGGGGGCGGAGACACUCCGCGUACAAAGCCGCCGAUGGGUGUCAGAUUUGCCUUCGGUGACCUUACGAUCUCUCCGCGUAAAACGCUAUUUUACAUCAAAGCGGUCCUUUACUUGAAGGUUUGGUAUAUGUCAAAUAGUCGACCAGCCUGGCAAGAGCACUUUGACAACUGGAAGCUUUCAGCGCAUGCUCUCCCAAGGAAUCAUGGGGUUUGAAGUCUUACCGAUGGACAGCAUUUCACUGCUGCUUCCGAAAGGAAGAGAGCUCGAAAGGGAAAAGAAAUAUGUGCACACUCCCUCUUCCCAGGGAAAACUGCUGCAAUCUGAAUCAUCAGCUCUGAGGGAAUAUCUGUCAGACUGAGCUGGAAGUGACUAACUAAAUAGGAGCUUUUAAAUAGUUUGAUUUAGAAGCCCAGAUGAAAUAGCCAUCUAUUUAGAACAACUGCUAGACAAAGAAAUAGUUCCAGUAUUUCCACAGUUCCCUUACAAAGUCCUAGCAUAAGAAAUUAAUUAUAAGCUCAUACCAGCUAUAAAGUUUACAGCUAUUACAAAGGAAAUCGUGCCACGUUGCUUAGCUGAAGAAUAUAUUAAAUAAUCAUGUGUCAUAACAUAAUUUCUAAAUAUAUUCUGAAGCUCAAACACAAAUAGGUCAAGUAUGAAAAUUUAAAAAGAAAUCAAAAUCAGUACAUAGGUGAAAAGUUGUACUAUUUGAAUAGUUUCCAAUUUUCAAGUUACAACUUUUUUUUUAUUACCAAGUUGUUACUACACUGAAAAUUCCACCAAAAAAAAAAAAA